AACAAACGCUGGCGGCGUGCCUAAUACAUGCAAGUCGAACGGGGAAAGCUUUCGGGUGAGUACUAGUGGCGCACGGGUGAGUAACGCGUGGAUAAUCUGCCUUAGAGUGGGGGAUAACUAGUCGAAAGAUUAGCUAAUACCGCAUAAGACCACAAGAACUGCGGUUCAAGAGGUCAAAGGUUUUUCGCUCUAAGAUGAGUCCGCGUAAGAUUAGCUAGUUGGUGAGGUAACGGCUCACCAAGGCAACGAUCUUUAACUGGUCUGAGAGGAUGAUCAGGCACACUGGAACUGAGACACGGUCCAGACUCCUACGUGAGGCAGCAGUAGGGAAUAUUGCACAAUGGAGGAAACUCUGAUGCAGCGACGCCGCGUGAGUGAUGAAGGCCUUCGGGUCGUAAAGCUCUGUCGCAGGGGAAUAACACAAUGAAUGUACCCUGUAAGAAAGGAUCGGCUAACUUCGUGCCAGCAGCCGCGGUAA
rnacentral:rRNA from 1 species